rnacentral:ncRNA from 1 species
CGAAAAGAUCAGAAUAAGAAGAGUAGCGAUUGCACGUGCUUGCUAGAGAGUCAGUGGCGGGUGGGAACUGAUACACGGCAUUCGUGAAUGGACUUAUGGCAGCUGUUUUGUUUCAAAACAGACGUGUGCCCGCGUUAAGGGCAGUGUGAAAACACAUAAAGUGGGAGUGCUCAGGCGCUUCAAUUUGAGGUGGCAACGCGGUUAUUUAAUCGUCCUCUGC